UCCAAAUGUUGAGUUAAGGCGGAUUUAUGCUUCUGCGGGGGGCUCUACACAGAGCUCUCGCCGUAGCCUGCGUAAGUGGCCUGAUGUUUAUACUUGUGCACUGGUGUCUGCGUUGUUCUAGCUGUGUGUGUGUGUGUGUG